rnacentral:rRNA from 1 species
UACGUAGGGGGCUAGCGUUGUCCGGAAUCAUUGGGCGUAAAGAGCGUGUAGGCGGCCCGGUAAGUCCGCUGUAAAAGUCAAAGGCUCAACCUUUGAAUGUCAGUGGAUACUGCCGGGCUAGAGUCCGGAAGAGGCGAGUGGAACUCCUGGUGUAGCGGUGGAAUGCGCAGAUAUCAGGAAGAACACCAACGGCGAAGGCAGCUCGCUGGGACGUACUGACGCUGAGACGCGAAAGCGUGGGGAGCGAACAGG